CCUACGGGUGGCUGCAGUGGGGAAUAUUGCACAAUGGGGGAAACCCUGAUGCAGCGACGCCGCGUGAGGGAAGGAGUAUUUCGGUAUGUAAAACUCUAUCAGCAGGGAAGAGAAUGACGGUACCUGACUAAGAAGCCCCGGCUAACUACGUGCCAGCCGCCGCGGUCAUACGUAGGGGGCGAGCGUUAUCCGGGUUUACUGGGUGUAAGGGGAGCGUAGACGGUGCUGGAAGUCUGAAGUGAAAGCCCGUGGCUUAACCGCGGAACGGCUUUUGAAACUGUGGAACUGGAGUGCUGGAGAGGCAAGCGGAAUUCUUAGUGUAGCGGUGAAAUGCGUAGAUAUCAGGAGGAACACCAGUGGCGAAGGCGGCUUGCUGGACAGUAACUGACGUUGAGGCUCGAAAGCGUGGGGAGCAAACAGGAUUAGAUACCCUUGUAGUC
rnacentral:rRNA from 1 species